rnacentral:rRNA from 1 species
CGCGUAGGCGGAUUGGUAAGUCGGAUGUGAAAUUCCAAGGCUCAACCUUGGAGCUGCAUUCGAAACUAUCGAUCUAGAGGAAUGGCGGAGAAAACGGAAUUCCACAAGUAGCGGUGAAAUGCGUAGAUAUGUGGAGGAACACCUGUGGCGAAAGCGGUUUUCUAGCCUAAACCUGACGCUGAGGCGCGAGAGAAGGGGAUCGAAACA